rnacentral:rRNA from 1 species
AAGACAUGGGUGAAAAAAAUACUUCAGCCGGCCGCGAAGCCAGGCCUUCAUAUUUUGUUGUUUAAUGAUCUCUUCCGUAGGGUGACCUGCGGAGGGAUCAUUACACAACAAAAUAUGAAGGCCUGGCUUUCGCGGCCGGCUGAAGUAUUUUUUUCACCCAUGUCUUUUGCGCACUUGUUGUUUCCUGGGCGGGUUCGCCCGCCACCAGGACCAAACCAUAAACCUUUUUUUCUUAUGCAGUUUCCAUCAGCGUCAGUAAAAACAAUGUAAUUAUUACAACUUUCAACAACGGAUCUCUUGGUUCUGGCAUCGAUGAAGAACGCAGCGAAAUGCGAUACGUAGUGUGAAUUGCAGAAUUCAGUGAAUCAUCGAAUCUUUGAACGCACAUUGCGCCCUUUGGUAUUCCAAAGGGCAUGCCUGUUCGAGCGUCAUUUGUACCUUCAAGCUUUGCUUGGUGUUGGGCGUUUUUUUGUCUCCCUCUUUCUGGGAGACUCGCCUUAAAACGAUUGGCAGCCGGCCUACUGGUUUCGGAGCGCAGCACAUUUUUUGCGCUUUGUAUCAGGAGAAAAGGACGGUACUCCAUCAAGACUCUACAUUUUUCACUUUUGACCUCGGAUCAGGUAGGGAUACCCGCUGAACUUAAGCAUAUCAA